AUUGAACGCUGGCGGCAUGCCUUACACAUGCAAGUCGAGCGGUAACAGGCCUUCGGGUGCUGACGAGUGGCGAACGGGUGAGUAAUGCAUCGGAACGUACCCAGAGGUGGGGGAUAACGCAGCGAAAGCUGUGCUAAUACCGCAUGUGAUCUGAGGAUGAAAGCGGGGGACCGAGCAGCAAUGUUUGGCCUCGCGCCUUUGGAGCGGCCGAUGUCGGAUUUGCUAGGUGGUGGGGUAAAGGCCUACCAAGGCGACGAUCCGUAGCUGGUGUGAGGGGACGACCCGCCACACUGGGACUGGGACACCGCCCCGACUCCUUCGGGAGGCAGCAGUGGGGAAUUUUUGACAAUGGGCGCAAGCCUGAUCCAGCAAAGCCGCGUGCGGGAAGGAGGCCUUCGGGUUUUAAACCGCUUUUGGCAGGAACGAAACGGUGUCCGCUAAUACCGGGCGCUAAUGACGGUACCUGCAGAAUAAGCACCGGCUAACUACGUG
rnacentral:rRNA from 1 species